GACGUAGGGGGCGAGCGUUGUCCGGAUUUAUUGGGCGUAAAGAGCGCGUAGGCGGCCCGGCAAGUCGGAUGUGAAAACCCGGGGCUCAACCCCGGGCCUGCAUCCGAUACUCCCGGGCUGGAGGCAGGUAGGGGAGAUCGGAAUUCCUGGUGUAGCGGUGAAAUGCGCAGAUAUCAGGAGGAACACCGGUGGCGAAGGCGGAUCUCUGGGCCUGUCCUGACGCUGAGGCGCGAAAGCGUGGGUAGCAAACGGG
rnacentral:rRNA from 1 species